rnacentral:lncRNA from 1 species
UUUUAAAGAGUUUUAAUCGCCCACUGCCUAGCUAAAAGGAACCUAAUGGAUCGUACACCGUGUAAGGUGGAGAUUGAAGAAACAAUGGAGAUGAGUAGGAAUAAUUAAAUGGUUUAAUUAUUUAUGGCAAGGAUUAAUUAAUAUGUUAAUUAAUCAAACGAAUAAGUUCGUUAAAGACCUCGGGAUAGUUUUGGACCUUAAGGCCCAAUGGGCUUCGAACGUCAAGCCAUUGACUUAAGUUGUAUGACAAUUUAAUGAAUAAAGAUUCACAAAGGCCCAAAAGCCCAAAUCCCUUAUGUGGCCGGCCAUGUGUGUUGAAUUAGGGUUUUUGGUUCUUUAGGUCAUUUAAAGAAGUGACUAUAUAAAGAACUUUAUAGCCUAAAAUUCAAAAAGGGUUCUUUUGGAGAAAAUUGGAGAGAACAUGUCUCUUCUUUUCUCUCUAGGAGGCCGGCCCCCUUAGAGGGUGUAUUUAGCAAUCCUACUCCUCCAAGGUCACUCAUUUCUACUUAAAUCUAACCUUGGUGUGGAGACUUAGAGGUUCUCAAUUUUGGGAACUUAGAGAACCAUAUUCUUCCAUCCAAAUCCAUGGAUCUAAGAAGCAAGGAAUGAAGGCCCUCUCUUUAGGUGAUUAGCCUUUGCUUAUGCAAACAGGAAUCUACAAAGGUAUAUUUCUCAACUUACUUUGUUUUGAGUUGAGUCUUGGUUCACCAAUCUACUAGGCUUUGAAUUUCAUGGGUAAUGUUUUGUUUUUGAAUGCAUGCAAGCAUGAUUCCGCCUUUUAAUUUUUAAAUGCAUGCUAUAGAUGUUAUUCAAAUGAACAUGUUUUCACAAAAUCAUCCUUCAGAAAUGUACAACCUAUACUCUCUUUCAUGCCAUCAACCAGGUGAAGAAGGAACUCAUCUUCAUGCCACCAACCAAGUGAUGAAAUGUACAACCCAUACUCUCCUUCAUGCCACUAACUAGGUGAUGAAAUGUACAACCCAUACUCUAAUAUCAUUUGGCAACUUGCCAUUCAUGCCACCAACCAGGGGAAGAAGGAACUUAUCUUCGUGCCACCAACCAGGUGAUAAAAUGUGAUGAAAGGUGAUGAAUGAACUCACAUUCGUACCACCAACCAAGUGAUGAAAACAACUCACCAUUCAUUCCACCUACCAGAAGACGAGUGGUACAACUUGUACAUAUGAACUCCUAGCAUUCACAAAUAAUAAAAAACCCUCAAGCUUGACAACUCAACUAGGGGAGCACUUAUGCCCAACAAGAGUUAUAGUCACCAACAAAGCCUUAUUGCAAGCCAACAACAACUUCAGUGCAUGGCAUACGAAGAUCAAGCCAUUUAGCCUUCUUGCAUCUACUUCAAACAUUUCCCCACUGUAACAAUGCAAACAUUACAACUCGUAGAAAACUUCACACACUCUUGAUCAAGACAGUAUGAAGCAAAAUCAAUUUAUGGUGCCAACAAGAGCUUCAUCAAUGGAAGGCAACCACAAUUCUCAAAAGCUUCACACACUCUUGAUCAAGAUAGUGUGAAGCAAAACCCAGUUAUGGUGCCAACAAGAGCUUCAUCAAAGGAGGGCAACCACAAUUCUCAAAAGCUUCACACACUUUUGAUUAAGACAGUGUGAACAAAAUCAAUUUAUGGUGCCAACAAGAGCUUCAUCAAUGGAGGGCAACCACAAUUCUCAAAAGCUUCACGAACUCUUGAUCAAGACAGUGUGAAGCAAAACCAAUUUAUGGUGCCAACAAGAGCUUCAUCAAAAGAGUUCAACCAUAAUUCUCAAAAGCUUCACACACUCUUGAUCAACACAGUGUGAAGCAAACCCAAUUUAUGGUGCCAACAAAAACUUCAUCAAUGGAAGGCAACUACAAUUCUCAAACCUUCGAAGCAAAUUCAUGACUGUUCGAAGAAAAUUCAAUUUAUAUGGUUCAUCCAAACCUUCGACUACUACAAGGUGUGGCUUGCAUCACAAUCUCUUGCCCAACAAGGUGGAAGCAAAAUUUGUAUAUGUUGUCUCUUCCAAAUUUUCAAAUUUCUAAUUUCCCAAAAAAAAAGAAAAAAAAAAAGGAAAUUAAAAAAAAGCUUCAACUCCAAAGCUUCACCAACAAAAGCUUCAUCAAUGGAGGACAACUACAAAUUCUCAAAAGCUUCACACUAUCUUGAUCAAGAUAGUGUGAAGCAAAAUCAAUUCAUGGUACCCAACAAAAGCUUCAACUCCAAAGCUUCACCUACAAAGCUUCAACUCCAAAGCUUCACCUACAAAAGCUUCAACACAAAAGCUUGACCCACAAAAGCUUGACCCACAAAAGUUUCACCUACAAAAGCUUCACCCAUAAAAGCUUGACCCACAAAAGCUUGACCUACAAAAGCUUGACCCACAAAAGCUUGACCCACAAAAGCUUCACCGACAAAGCUUCAACACAAAAGCUUCACCUACAAAAGCUUCACACUAUCUUGAUCAAGAUAGUGUGAAGCAAAAUCAAUUCAUGGUGCCCAACAAAGCUUCAAUCUCAAAGCUUCACCUACAAAGCUUCAACACCAAAGCUUCACCUACAAAGCUUAAAAAAUAUAUAUAUAUAUAUAUUUUCGGAAAUUCGAAAAUUCAAAACUUCAAAAAUUCAAAAAUUCAAAAAUUCAAAACGAAAAACAAAUUCAAAAAAAAAAUAUUGCCUAGGCCUCAUCUUCUUUGGGCCUAACAAGUUUCAUAACAAAUAUAUAUGAAGGAGGAGUUUUGGGCUACCACUUAGAAAGGAAAUGCCUCAUUCUUCAACUCCCUCGACCGGAGACUUGGGGGACACCUACCAUAGGCUACUUCACCUUGAUACUCAAAAGUCUUAUGACCACUUAGUGACUUGGAUUUUUCAAGUCUCCAACCGAGAAGUUUUCCUCACUUGGGAAAUUAAGGGAGCACUACCUCAACAUACAUCCUUUACUCUCAAAACUUCAACAAAAGAAAAAAUUCAAAGAACUUAGUGAAGAAGGCCUUGGUGUAUUUAAGACAAUACGUUGAAAUGAAGCAAAGCUUGUUUAUUGAUAUCUCUGAUAAGGUACAAAUAUGUACAUAUACAUGAAUCAAAAUAAACAAACAAAAGGGAGCCUUCAUAAAGGUUGCUCAUGAGAAGUCUCAGCAGUCGGCAGAGCGCCAGAAAGAGUAGGCACCAGAGGGUGAUCAUUCGGAGCCUCAGUACUGGGCAGAUCCCCAAAAGAAGUAGGCACCGAAGAUUGAUCAUUCGGAGCUUCAUUACGCGGUACAGCCUCAAAAGACGAAGGCAAUAAAUGCCUUUGGAACAAACCCACAAACCUCUAAUGAUCAAGCAAAAUCUGACCAUCAGAUUCCUGCAGCUGGUCGAGCAUCCUUUUCAUGUUUGUAGCAUAGUUAAGUGCCAGCCUGUGCAACUGUUUAUUCUCAUGCUUGAGCCCUCUGAUCUCCUGUUUGAGACUUAUCACUUCAGCCGCCGAUGAUUCAACUUGGCGGGUUCGAGCAAAUAGGCGUUGAGCCAUAUUAGACACAUAACUUGCACACUGAACACUGAGAGCCAGAGAAUCCUUAACAACCAACUCAGUAGACCGUUUAGAAAGUAGUCUGUUAUCUUUGGGAAUGGGAAGGUUCCUGGCUACCACCGCAGCGGUCAUAUCAUUCUUCAUCACAGAGUCCCCAACGGUAAGAGAACCAGUAGGGGAUAAGAAGGAUGGGCGUCAUAUGUUGUCUUGAGAAGGCAUGGAUGCCUCUUCACCAAAGUUCAAGUCAAAACGACGGUCGGAUGGGCCAGACAUUCUCAGAAAUGAUGAAGGAGAAAUGAGGUGCAAUAAAUCUCUGAAGUAAGGGGAAAAUUCCUAUAAGCAAUAACUCUCUGAAUGUACUCCUUGCACACAAUUGGUGCCCUUAUAAAAGAAAAGGCAACAGGGCCGUUGGUUCAAAAAUCGAAGAGGCACCACUCUCCAGAUUCCGAAGAGACACCACUCUCCGGAUUUUGAAGACGCACCACUUUCCACAUGCAACAUCAGCUCCUUGGGUACCACAGAUAACUUUGCUAAAGAUCUCUGACAAAGUUUAGACACAUAAAUUUUGAAGGUCCAGCUACCCUACUAUUACCCACAAGGGUAAAGCAACAGCACCACUACUUGAUAACUAGAAAGUCCCAAUGUGUGUCAACCUCCGUGCUCCGUGGCAUGACAGACUGGCAAAUGGGCCCAACCUUUACUCACAUUCGAGAAAACACUCCCAACAAGAUUGCUUCCUCAAAAAUUGAAGAGGAACCACUCUCUGAAUCUCGAUAGCCAGACACCCAACAUGAUUACUUUCUCAAAAAUCGAAAAGACACUGCUCUCCAAAUCUCAAGAGUCAGACUCCCAACAGGAUUGCUUUCUCAAAAAUCGAAGAGGCACCAUUCUCUGAAUCGCAAGAGCCAGAUCCCCGACAGGAUUGCUUGUUCGAAAACCGAAGAGGCAUCGCUCUUCAAACUUCGAGAGCUAGAUUUCCUUGGAUAAAGCUUGUCUGCAAUCUUCACAUGCAACAUCAGCUUUCUAGAUACCAAAUACCACUUUUUCAAAGUGCUCUGACAAAGUUAAAACACAUGAAGCUUGCAGCUCCCACUACAUUGCUACGACCAAGAAGGAUAGAGGAAUAGCAUUACUACUUGUUGUUAGGGAGACUCCAAUAUAUGUCGACCUCCAUCCUCCACAGACAGGCAGACCUAUAAAAAUGCUCAACUCUUCCUCAUAUCUAAAAGGGCACUCCCAACGAAGCCUCUCGAAAUACUCAGCUUUCUUCCCCCCCAAUAAUACCUAUGCAAACCAGCCACACCAGAGCAAGAGUAUAUCAUAUCAUCAGGGUCAAAAGCAAGAGUAUCUCAUAUCAUGCUUUUUCCCUGUCUUUUCCUUUGCCCUUGUUCUUACCUGUAAGACAAGGAGAAAGAAAGCAAUCGGUCAACACUUGGAAUCAAACUUCCAGUCAGGGACUGACUGCCUGGAACCCCUUGCCUGAUUACUUACCUGGCAUUGCUCUCAAGUACUCAUCUUCAACAUCUUAUGCUUCCAAAAAAGACACCACAUCUGCCUGAGGAACAGAUAGGGCAAGUAAGAAUGAUACAAGGAUGCAUGUGGAGACAAGCGCAACAGAACACAUGCUGAUUCAUCUAUUACUUCGUCAACAGCAAAAUUAUCCCAUAUCAUCAAGGUCAAAUACACUCUUGAUUUGAUGGACUUGUUUUGAUACUUAAAUUCUUGAGUCGGCCUUAUACUCUGGAGGAAACCAGAAAACCCUCCAGCCCAGUUCAAGAAUAAGCCUGUAGAAAGUUACUUCUUCAAAAGCAAAAUAUCUCAUAUCAUCUCUUCUCCAUUUGCUUCUCCUUAUCCUUGUUCCCGUUUACGACACAAGGAGAAGGAGAACAAUCAACCGGAAGCCGAAGUCGAACCUCCGAUCCAGGUAGCUUGCUUAGAAGUCUUAUUGCUUAACUUGUCUGUUACCUCUUUCGGCAAAUCUCUUAGCUCGGCGACUUGGAAGACUCAUACUAUAGGGUUCUGUAUCACACUUGACCAAGCCCGAAACUACAAGUAAGCUUCAAGUAAAAUUGAUACAUUACCUUGUGCAUCUUCAUCGGUUAAAGAUACCAACCUGGAUGGAGGAAAAGUACUUCCAGAGAAGAUGCCACAUCUACAUAUGAGACACAUAAACCAAGUGAAAAUGAUACAACACUUUGGUACUUAGAAGUUUCGUGAUUACUCAAUGGCUUGGAUCUUGCAAGUCCCUAACCGAGGAGCUUCCUUCACUCAGGAACUUAGGGGAGCACUGUUUGUACCAUACUUGACCAAUCCUGAAACUAUUGAGCACCGGUCAACGUUAUACCAUCAAGGACCCAGAAGAGUUUCCCUCCAACCAGGAGACCAAUCACAGCGCGACACGUGUCGACAUUAGAAGCCAAUCAUAGCGCGACACGUGUCAGCAUCAGAAACCAAUCAUAACACGACAGUGUCAAUGUCAGAAUGAAACUAGAAACUCUCUUCUAUAAAUAGAGAUCAUUCUCUCACAAUAUUGCCGAAUGUCAUUUAUACUAAAUCAUUCACUUGUACUCACUAAAGGAGAGCUUGAACCUAUGUACUUGUGUAAACCCUUCACAAUUAAUGAGAACUCCUCUACCCCGUGGAUGUAGCCAAUCUGGGUGAACCACGUACAUCUUGUGUUUGCUUCCCUAUCUCUAUCCAUUUACAUACUUAUCUACACUAGUGACCGGAGCAAUCUAGCGAAGGUCACAAACUCAACACUUUCUGUUGUACCAAAGUCCUCGCUGAUUUUGUGCAUCAACGCUUUGCAUAAUAUUGCAUGCUAUUACGGAGGCCAAGGUAAGUUCAGGUGAAUACACAUGGUUGGUAUGAUUACAUAGUAGUUAAUGAUGAGUUGUUGUGCGUAAUUCAUUGUCUUGCACCCCGGUGUUAGUGCUCCGCUCGAGGUCAGGGCCUAGCCUUCACGUGAUCAUUCACCUCCCGUACCGUACACUCACCUUGGAUCAAAGGCAGGUGCCACAUUAGGUGGUUCAGACUCGCAGGUGACUUGUGAUACUUCGCACAGCCUUCACGUGAUCGUAGCAUUUGAGCAUAUUCAUUUACACAUAACCUGUCGUACAGACCAUAGUAGGUGGUUUCGACUCAUGUGCAGGACUUGACUGAUGAGUUAUAGACUCAGCCGUACAGGUCAUGUUAGGUGACUCAGGCUGAUAUGUCAUUUUAUAUUGAUUCAUUUCACUUGGCUUACUUAUGCAUUAUGGAGAUGAUUGACAUGGCAUAUAUGUGGAUUUUGCUACUCUCGAGCAUGGUUCUUAUAUUCGUACGUAGUACUAUUUUCUGGGAAAUUAUACAGGUUUUAUAGUGAGGGGUUAUUACUUUUGGAAAGAUAAAUUGUUUUGAAACGCUUUAUUUUUGCCCACUCACACUUUCUAUUUUGCGCCCCUUCAGGUUCUAGAUAGAAGUUCUUGUUGGUGGCUCACGAGGACUCCACGGCGGUUCUGACAGACAUCCAUCAGUGUAAGGUUUCUUUUAUGAUUUGUAUAACUAGUAAUUCGACUUUUGGAUUGCAUUUUGAUAACUACGCUCUGGUUAUGUGUGUACUACUCUCUAAACACUUUCCUCGCACUGAUAUGCUAGUCUAGUGUAAAUUAGUUAGUUGUUUUUCAUUUAUCCAUAUUUUUAUAUCACGCUCACUUCCGCACAGCAAACAUGGCUACGUCACCAUCAUGUGACGGCCAACAUGCCUCGAUAGGGGUCGGGGUGUGUCAGUAUGAGUAGCCAGUUAGUACUACAGUUUGGUGCUAUUCCUCUUUACUCGUAAGUGAGAGGUUUUAGGUUUGAAUCUCGUAGAUAGCGAAUUCGAUACCAAAUUAGGUUGCCCAUUUUGUGGCUUAACUGAACUCCCCCUCCCCAUAGUGUAAAUAUAUCUUGUACUAAAAAAAGGGUGAGUAUUAAAACUCUAAAUCAAUUACUAAUUUUUGUUAUAAAAAUUAUGUAACUUACAUGUAAUUCAUUAAUAUAUUAAUGUUAGGGACUUUGAUCAAAAUUUAAAAACUAAUAAGAUUUUUGUCAACAGAUACUAAUUUUUUCUUAAUUUAAAUUUAAUAUCGUAAUAUAUAAAAAAUAAAUAAAACAAGAAUUAAGAUGACAAAUUAGACAUGCAAAGGACUUAAUGCAAAUAAAUAUGAAAGAUGAAUGAAAAUAAAGCGACAUAAAUAAAUCAUUAAGAUGUUGGAAAUGUGCCCUAAAACCAAUCAUAUGAUGAUACUUUACAGACAUUUCACAAAGUUAAACUAAUGUAGUUUAAAUAUAAAGGGGCAAAGAUUAUUGUUUGAGCCGUCUCAUAUAAAUGUUAUAUGCUUAAACGAUAAGUCCAAGGAAUAUGUGAUUGGGAGAAUGCAAUCUAAAGAAGUUAGAUUCAUGAGACCAUUCUUUCGUAGACAUAUCCUAAACGUUCCUGAUCAUAGGAUUGCCGAUUGGGCAUUGAUAGUCCGUUAAGAUCAGUACGUGUUGUGUCUUCUCUCAGGGAGAGUGACUAGUCUCGAGUCAUUGGUGUGUGUGACAUCAAGACAAGUACGUAGGUGCUCAAUAGAGAAUGAGUUCACUGAACACGAUCAACGAAGAGUUCUCAUAUUCAUGUCACAUGAGAACUCAUGGUUGGGAUAAUACAAAGUAGUCCUUUGACCUGAGGCAUCACAGUUGUCUGGUGGUUAAGUCCUUGAUCUUUGAUUAUGUCAAAGUCACCCCAUCCGCGGGUGUCCACGGCAUCGUUGGGGUUAAGCCACUUAGCCAUGGAGGCAAUUGAAUGCGCAACAAGGGAUCUCUAACCUUCAAACCGUUUGGGGGAGAAUACUCUAUGAUAUGAUUGAAAAUCUCUGAUCAGAGUAUGAAUGAGAUUUAGGAAGGCGUUCCAAAUCACAUUCAAGGUAAUCAUAUAAGUAAACGAAUCACAUUGGAUAGUAGACAUGAAUAAACUAUCAAACCAAACAAUGUGGUUAAGAGUAUUGUAUUAGAGAAAGACCGUAUUGCAUUUGUAAUCCUAAACUGAAUAGGUUCUCCACCUCUUCUGAUUAGCUUGGGUAACCAUGAUAUACUGCUAGGUGUCACUCAUGGUUUGUGAAAGCCCUAAACGUGUAUAAUCACUAAAGGGAGAAUUGAAAGUAAGUUUCAAUUCACAAUCGGUUUGAAAGAGUUCUAAUCGCCCACUGCCUCGCUAAAAGGAACCUAAUGGAUCGUACACCGUGUAAGGUAAAGAUUGAAGAAAUAACGGAGAUGAGUAAGAAUAAUUAAAUGGUUUAAUUAUUUAUGGCAAGGAUUAAUUAAUAUGUUAAUUAAUCAAACGAAUAAGUUCGUUAAAAGACCACGGGUUAGUUUUGGGCCUCAAGGCCCAAUGGGCUUCAAACGUCAAGCCCAUUGACUUAAGUUGUAUGACAACUUAAUGACUAAUAAUUCACAAAGGCCCUAAAAGCCCAAUGAAACCCAAUGGCCGGCCAUUUAGAGAUGGAGUGGGUUUUGGACUUAUUUACAAGUUUACCACUCCAAUGAAUUAAGGUAUAAAUGUGACUUUAUAGCCAAAAUUCAUUUAGGGUUUCUUUUUGGAGAAAAGAUGAGAACACAAAGCUCUCUUUUCUCUCUAAAGAGGCCGGCCACCCUAGAGGAAAUUAACUAGCAAUCUUGCUUCCUCUAGGUCACUCAUUUCUUCAUCAAUCUAUCCUUGGUGUGGAAACUUAGAGGUUCUCAAUUUUGGGAACUUGGAGGCCCUCUCCUUGGGUGAUUACCCUUUGCUUAUGCAAAGAGGAAUCUACAAAGGUAUAAAUUUCUCAACUCACUUUUAUUUGAGUUGAGUCUUGGUUCACCAAUCUACUAGGCUUUGAAUUUCAUGGUUAAUGUUUUGUUUUUAAGUGCAUGCAAGCAUGAUUCCGCCUUUAAUUGUUAAUUGCAUGCUAAUAGAUGUUGCUUCAAUGAACAUGUUUUCACAAAAUCUUCCUUCAUAAGAUGCCGACUUAACCUAACCAAUCCCACUUGAAAUCUAUAGCAUAUUAACCUAGGCAUGUUGACAAUUGAUUUACCCUAAAUUAUUUGAUAUUCCUUUCCAUCCUCAACUAAAAGUAUUCCUGACUGACAACCAAUUCUUUUCCAAGCAAUACAACAACAACAACAACAACAAAGCCUUUUCCCACUAAGUGGGGUCGGCUAUAUGAAUCCUAGAACGCCAUU